GCCAACGCCCAUGCCGCGCUGAGUGCACUCGUUCCCGUCAGAUCACGAAAGUUAAGCAGCGCCGGGCACGGGGAUAGUACUUGGAUGGGUAAUCGCCUGGGAACUCCGUGUGGCGUUGGCG
rnacentral:rRNA from 13 species